GUCACGAGCGAUGAAGACUCCCGUGCCUUUGGAUGUUUUUGGAUUUCUACUAGAAGAAAGUUGGAGAGCCGUGCAUCCUCUUAAGACCAAGUGUCUGUGUGAAGUCAGAAAACAUCAAUGGGAUCGUGAUGAAGGUCUUCUUCAAGACCUCAUUGAAGUGUACGGAUCGGGGAGAGCGCGCUUUCAUGACAAUGUCGUCGGCGGGACUUUUCCGUGUGAGCAGGGCAUCUUUCUGCAUCUCAGAAGCGUCUGAAUUCAGACCGACCGGUCAGUACAUCCCUCUCCAUCGUCAUCAGAAACCCUAACUCUCCAGUUCUGCAGUGAAACUCUGAACCCACGGGACGCUGAAAGGAACGGAUCAAGAAAACAAGUGAAAAAAUCCC